GCCUUAUACAGCCUUCUUGGAAGCUUUGGUUUCUCCACCUGAACCACAGCCAUGUGAUACCUAGGACACCAGAGAACAAGAAAAAUGAGAAGACAAGUGUGUUUGCCUGUAGAGCAUCGUACACAGCAGGCUUACCUGGGUGCUCCAUGGAAUCAGCAGACUUGGCAGAAAAAUGAGAAGAGAAAAAUCCUAAUAUUAAACCAAAUGUUUUAGCUCAGUUUCUUAUAUCCUUUUUGAAGGAUGUGGCAAUUACUAAGUAGGUUGCCACCGUUUAUAACCAGUUGGAAACUGAGCAUCUAGUGACCACAUUUUUAUAUAAGGAGGACUACAAGUAUCACAGGUACCCAUGUCAUGCUGACCACAGGAUUUCUGACAACAUUUAGCACAGCGUUUAUGUCAUGCAUUUUGUUGAUCCUGGAGCAGAGGGUGAGUGACAUGUUCCCAAAAAACAAGACUUGAGAAAAUUUGCUGAAUUUAUCACUGGUGAGUUAUAAAUGCUCUCUGCUGAAUACACAUUCACUAAUUUAUAUUCCCAAUCAUAGAUAACAUGAUGAAGUCCAGAGGUACAUAUUGGGGCAAUAUUAAUUAAAGUAUUGAAUAUUACUGUAAUGUGAAGCUCAGUUGUUUUAAUA